UCGAUCUUCGUCCUUCUGAUGCA
rnacentral:siRNA from 1 species